AUUGAACGCUGGCGGCAUGCUUUACACAUGCAAGUCGAACGGUAACAGGUUAGGCUGACGAGUGGCGAACGGGUGAGUAAUGCAUCGGAACGUGCCCGAUCGUGGGGGAUAACGCAGCGAAAGCUGCGCUAAUACCGCAUACGAUCUGAGGAUGAAAGCGGGGGACCGUAAGGCCUCGCGCGAUCGGAGCGGCCGAUGUCAGAUUAGGUAGUUGGUGGGGUAAAGGCUCACCAAGCCGACGAUCUGUAGCUGGUCUGAGAGGACGACCAGCCAAACUGGGACUGAGACACGGCCCAGACUCCUACGGGAGGCAGCAGUGGGGAAUUUUGGACAAUGGGCGCAAGCCUGAUCCAGCAAUGCCGCGUGCAGGAAGAAGGCCUUCGGGUUGUAAACUGCUUUUGUACGGAGCGAAAAGGCUCUCUCUAAUACAGGGGGUUCAUGACGGUACCGUAAGAAUAAGCACCGGCUAACUACGUGCCAGCCGCCGCGGUAA
rnacentral:rRNA from 1 species